ensembl:lncRNA
GUUUGAUGUCUCCGAGAGAAAAUAAUAAUUCACUUAAAUGUUUUAUAGAUAAAGUAACAAACCUAUUUUGAAAAUGUAAGCAGUAGAAAGAUUAUAGGUAUUUAUGUCAAAAUGUAGUGAGUGAAUAUAAAAACUUGUACUUUGACACUGUACUUAAGAGUUAAGUACAGUGUAUUUAAAUGUAUCUAUGUCUAUACUUUGUAUGCUUCAUUAUGUAGAGUUGCUUUAUACUUUAGGCAACAGUUGGAGAAAGACUGUUUUAACGUGAAAAUGCCUUCAAAACAAAACACACUGAAUAUAAAGACACAACUUUCAUAGGUUGAGGAUGACUUCAUUUUGAAUACAAGAUGGACUAGAGGCAAAAAAGCAGCAUAAAAGAAGAAGGAAGAGAGUCAGGGUUGAAGUUGUUAGACAUUUAAAAAAAAAUUAUUGACAGUUCAAAAAGCCUGGAAAAAACCCCAGUAAGUGCAAAAGCCAAAGUACACCAAAAGUCACUAAUUAGAAAUAUAAUCCCAGUGCCAACUAAACUACUCCAUAAUAAAAAAAAAUAGUACAAUUUUGAAUAAAAAAAAAUCCUAAAGCAACAAUGAAAUAAAAAAGGUAUAAAAGUGAAAUGCAUAUUUGCCCUGCAGAGCGUCCUUAGAAAAGCCAAGGGGCUACAAUUAAAACACUGCCAAAAUGGAAAACAGCAAGCACAGCCACUAGCCAGACUGCGCGCACUCUUCUUGAAUUUAUAUUAGAAACAAUACAAGAGAGCUACUGCACAUACAAAGUGGAAAGCAAAGUUCACAAAACACAAUUCUGGAUGAAACUUUGGAUGGAAAGAAAUAGCAAAGCUCUUAAAAGUCCUUCUUUGAGGUUUUAUCUCUGGUGAUAUAACUCUUGGAUCCAGCCAGGAGCACAAGGACUGCAGCUGGGACAUGGACAUUUCUUUUGCUAGAGCAACAAAUAAGUGCCUUUCCUCAUGUGUAAAAAAUCUGGUGCAAUACCUGAUGUAGCAUAUUUACGCCAUCAAUGACACUAUACAGGGUAAGCAAGACAGACAGUACUUGCCCAAGUGAAAUCUAAGUAGAGAAAUCCAUUCAAACCUACUGAAGUGAAUAAAUCUCAAAAAACUACAUGUUUCCAUCCAUUAUGUAAAUUACUUCGAACCUGUGAUGUCAUGGUCCUGGGUCGUUGACCCAGCGUUUUGUGUUUAUUCUGAUUUGUAUUAGUUUAGGGUUGACCCUGAAGUUAGUGUAUAUUCAGCCCUACCUGUGUCUGUCCUUGGUGCUCUGUUCUUG